rnacentral:rRNA from 1 species
UAGGGAAUAUUGGUCAAUGGAGGCAACUCUGAACCAGCCAUGCCGCGUGCAGGAAGACGGCCCUCUGGGUUGUAAACUGCUUUUGGACAGGAACAAAUGAUCCCUGCGGGGAUAGCUGAGUGUACUGUCAGAAUAAGCCACGGCUAACUACGUGCCAGCAGCCGCGGUAAUACGUAGGUGGCAAGCGUUGUCCGGAUUUAUUGGGUUUAAAGGGUGCGUAGGCGGCUUUGUAAGUCAGCGGUGAAAAUUUUGGGCUUAACCCAGAAACUGCCAUUGAUACUGCAGAGCUUGAAUUCAAACGAGGUAGGCGGAAUUGAAGGUGUAGCGGUGAAAUGCAUAGAUAUCUUCAAGAACACCGAUAGCGAAGGCAGCUUACUAGAAUGAUAUUGACGCUGAGGCA